UACGGAAUCUUCGCAUCGACAAGCGGCUGCGACAAAUCAGCCGCCUUAGAAGUCGUAAAGUCAUCAAACUCGGUCUCUAGCUUCUGCUUCGUGGCUUCAUCGGUGUCGGAGUCAACGGAGCCCCAGUCGGCGCCGUAGAGGACGGAGGUGGGGCGGACGUGGAGGAGGAUGACGGCGUCACCGGGGCGGAGGUAGUGGUGGACGGACCACUUGACGGCGAAGGCGGACUCGUCGGAGAGGUCGACGGCGAUGCCGAUGCGGCGCUGGGCGGCGGAUGUGGGAGUGUCGGUGGCGUGGGGAGUGGAGGAGGGGCGGUAGCGUGGGGAAGAAGCUUUGACUUUGAUGGCGGCGAGGAGGGGCAGGUCGGAGUCGGGUGAGGAUGGGGCGGGCUUUUGGGAAUCCAUUUCAAAUUAGGGUUUAUUAGGUUUCAAAAUUAGGAAAGUGUUUUUGAG
rnacentral:lncRNA from 1 species